GACAUUUACUGAUAUAUGCGUUGAUAAAGAGAAAUAAAGCGGAAAUAGACUUAAUUUGAGUGCUUUGAAGCUUGAGUGAAGAGAGGAAAUUACUGCUCGGAAGGUUGAGAAGUGAAAAUGUAAAAGUUUAAAUGUAAAAUGUAAAAAAAAAUGUAAAAGUAAAAUGUUUUAAAAAUUGGUUAAAAAAAGAGUGGAAAGCCUUGACACGCAGAGGGAAAAAAAAAGAAGUCAGAAGAAUCAGUUUGAUAAUUAAGGCAAGAAGAUGUUGCAAAAUGGAAGAAAAAAGCGGAGAGUAUUAAAGCUUGAGUUUUGACUGGAUGAUAAAAAUGCUUCAAGUUAUCUCUUGAAGAACUAUAGUACUACCUGUUGGGCUGGUGGAGAUAAAUACUGUUCAUUGGCUUGAUUUUCCUUACCGCUGCUUGAAAGAGCUGAAGUGGAAUUCGGUCUGCGGCCAAUGAUUGCUGGGAAGCAAUCAUUGCUUCCACUUUCAACGGAUGAUAAUGCCAUCUCCAACGAUCGGCAAUGAUCAUAAUACUGUAAAAAUAAAUGUGAACGGAUAAGUAGCAGCUCUUGCCCAAAUACACAUCCAAGGCUUCAUAGAGGCCCAUCGGCGUAAUUGCUGUCCAAAGACCGUCGGUCUCAUGAUCUCUGAAGGUAACCGCUGUAUUCCAGACUCAAAAAAGAUUUUGAGCAAAGGCUUGGAAAUGAAAGAAUUAAAGUCAGUUAGAGGGCUCCGGUUCGUGCAUGGAGAAAAGCCAUUGAGGAAGUUGGCAUUCAAUUAAAAAAUGUAAAUAAAGUGGUAAUAAAGAUAAUUAUACGAAAAAAAAAUGCUUUGCAUAUGGCAAGUUCUAUGUUUAUUACUUUUCAUACAACAUACAGACAAAUGUUAUCCA